rnacentral:rRNA from 1 species
CCUACGGGUGGCAGCAGUGAGGAAUAUUGGUCAAUGGGCGCGAGCCUGAACCAGCCAAGUAGCGUGAAGGAUGAAUGCCCUACGGGUUGUAAACUUCUUUUAUAAAGGAAUAAAGUGAGGCACGUGUGCCUUUUUGUAUGUCCUUUAUGCAUAAGGAUCGGCUAACUCCGUGCCAGCCGCCGCGGUAAUACGGAGGAUCCGAGCGUUAUCCGGAUUUAUUGGGUUUAAAGGGAGCGUAGAUGGGUUGUUACGUCAGUUGUGAAAGUUUGGGGCUCAACCGGAAAAUUGCAAUUGAUACUGGCAGCCUUGAGUACAGUUGAGGUAGGCGGAAUUCGUGGUGUAGCGGUGAAAUGCUUAGAUAUCACGAAGAACUCCGAUUGCGAAGGCAGCUUACUAAACUGCCACUGACAUUGAUGCGCGAAAGUGUGGGUAUCAAACAGGAUUAGAUACCCGAGUAGUC